rfam:Operophtera brumata OBRT01_Sc06554, whole genome shotgun sequence.
CAUUAGGCCCUUUUCAGGGCCACCAUACCUUACAAGUGACGUUCUUU